rnacentral:tRNA from 1 species
GGGCCUGUGGUCUAGUCGGUUAUGACGUCGCCUUCACACGGCGGAGGUCCGGAGUUCGAAUCUCCGCGGGCCCA